rnacentral:rRNA from 1 species
GAUGAACGCUGGCGGCGUGCCUAAUACAUGCAAGUCGAGCGAACGGACGAGAAGCUUGCUUCUCUGGUGUUAGCGGCGGACGGGUGAGUAACACGUGGAUAACCUACCUAUAAGACUGGGAUAACUUCGGGAAACCGGAGCUAAUACCGGAUAAUAUUUUGAACCGCAUGGUUCAAAAGUGAAAGACGGUCUUGCUGUCACUUAUAGAUGGAUCCGCGCUGCAUUAGCUAGUUGGUAAGGUAACGGCUUACCAAGGCAACGAUGCAUAGCCGACCUGAGAGGGUGAUCGGCCACGCUGGAACUGAGACACGGUCCAGACUCCUACGGGAGGCAGCAGUAGGGAAUCUUCCGCAAUGGGCGAAAGCCUGACGGAGCAACGCCGCGUGAGUGAUGAAGGUCUUCGGAUCGUAAAACUCUGUUAUUAGGGAAGAACAUAUGUGUAAGUAACUGUGCACAUCUUGACGGUACCUAAUCAGAAAGCCACGGCUAACUACGUG